rfam:Ictidomys tridecemlineatus contig003511, whole genome shotgun sequence.
GGGGUUGUGGCUCCGUAGUAGAGUGCUUGCCUUGCAAGUAUGAGGCUUUGGGUUCAAGCCUCAGUCAGCACCA